UUCCAGACUCCUACGGGAGGCAGCAGUCGGGAAUAUUGCGCAAUGGAGGAAACUCUGACGCAGUGACGCCGCGUAUAGGAAGAAGGUUUUCGGAUUGUAAACUAUUGUCGUUAGGGAAGAUAAAAGACUGUACCUAAGGAGGAAGCCCCGGCUAACUAUGUGCCAGCAGCCGCGGUAAUACAUAGGGGGCAAGCGUUAUCCGGAAUUAUUGGGUGUAAAGGGAGCGUAGACGGCAUGGCAAGUCAGAUGUGAAAGCCCGGGGCUCAACCCCGGGACUGCAUUUGAAACUGUCAGGCUGGAGUGCAGGAGAGGUAAGUGGAAUUCCUAGUGUAGCGGUGAAAUGCGUAGAUAUUAGGAGGAACACCAGUGGCGAAGGCGGCUUACUGGACUGUGACUGACGUUGAGGCUCGAAAGCGUGGGGAGCAAACAGGAUUAGAUACCCUCGUA
rnacentral:rRNA from 1 species